GGGUCGGGCUUUUAAUUUUGGAUCCUUUAUAUCUGCUUCUGACUCCCAUCUUCUUUCUCACACUUCAUUCCAAACCCUAAAUCCUUCUUUUAGCCGUUUCUCUUUGGCUUCACUACAUCCUCUUCAAAUCAAACUUGGAUCCAUGGAUUAUUUUCAAUGAAGAAUCUACAGAUGCUGAAAGAGAUAUGGGAUCAUCAUCAUCGUCGCCGCUCGCUAGAGGACGCCGACGACCACCGAUUUUGGCAGAGAGAUGAUGGAUUUAUGCUUCAUAUGACAGUGACACCUAUUGCUUCGCCGACGAACACUAUGGAGCUGGUGAUUUUAGGGUUUUGCCUUAAAGUUGGAGGGUUAUAUCUAAGCUUCGAGAUGUUAUGGUCUUUUGGAUAUCUGAAAUACUUGAAGUGAUCAAACAAGUUAAAUAAUUUGCUGUUCACUGAGGAAAAUUAUAAAGAAAAGAUGUCUAAAUUUCAGAGUCAAAGAGAAAGCAUCCAUCCAUCAAUAGCAUCGUGAAGUGGUCGAGAGACGUAUUUAUACAGUAGCCACUGGUAUUUCUACUCACGGACCUGAUGUUCCUGGUUUGUCUUCUUCUAUUAGAAGUUUUUGUUCAUCGGCGUGGUCGUACAAGCUAGGCUAGGCUGGAUCUCAUACAGAGAGUAUACUGGUGCAAGCACUGAGGAAUAGAGGACAUGUUGUUGCUGUUACUGGCGAUGGAACAAAUGACGCCCCUGCUUUACAUGAGGCUGAUAUUGGUCUUGCGAUGGGGAUUCAAGCCACUAAAUUAGCAAAAGAGAGUAGUUCUGGUUGGGUUUGUUAUUAACUUUCGGUUUAUGUAUUAAGUUUAGUCAUAUAUUACUUUCAUGUUCAAAUUUAAAAUUUUAACUAAAAAAUCAACAAUAUCUUAUCCACAAAAACGUUUUAUAAUUAUUAAGUAUAUUUAUUUUAUUAAGCCCGUGUAAUAUUCGAGGUUUUACAUGCUGGUAUAAAAAAAUAAAUUUAAAAGGAAAUGGUCAAACCUUGCCAGAAUGGGUUCAGGUUCGUAUCUAGAUAUACAUAGUUGCUUUAGUCUAACAACAUGUUUAUGUAUGUUUUAUUUUAUCGUGAGACACGCCACCGGAGAGAUCAUGUGAGAAUCCAUUUAGCUUAUGCCAGAAGAUCCUUCGGCUGGAAUCCCAAAUAAAGUGCCACUGGCGUAUAGAGCUGUUUCUUUUUGGCAGUUGAGUUUGCUCCAUCUGUGGUGUUGGGAACAAAUAGGACGCUUGCCAGUUUGCCAAUUCUGUUUGGAGUCAAAUUUGCCUUUGGAUUUAAAUCCCUCCCUUCAAGCUGAACAUAUAGGUGAGGUUGAUUUAACGAAGAUGCAGUUUUCUGAUAUUAGCUUUGAUGCAGCAUACGCAGUUGAUGCUACUUGCUAUGCUCCAGGGUACGACUCAAAACGGACCGUGGAUCGAAUGGCGGUCGUGGAGACAGACCAUGGAUCUAACAGCGUAGGAAUAAUCGACGAGGGAAGGGAAGUUUUAAUUGGAACUCUAACGGCGCUUGCAAGGCAUUCAGUGGCAGCAAAUGUGAUUUCGCUGGUUUUAAUUCAUGGCAACGACGACGGCUUCACGCAUAUUAGUGUUAUGUUUCGUUUCUCUGACAGAUAUAAAGGACCCAAUGACUCGAUCCGGUGAACAGCUGAAGGUGGCGCCAACUAAACUCAGGGUUACUACUGUCGUUGAUACCAAAGCAAUCUAAAGAUGAAGCUUCUAUUGUUGUUAACGAUGGUGUGCGGUACUUUGUCAUUUUCCAGUCAGUUAACCACCCCGAAAACCGAAAGCCUGAGACCAGGACGCAACCAAACAUCCUUAACCGAUCAAUCUCAGGGCAAAAUUUAAGACAGCAUGCAAGACUUCAAAGAGCAUACUCGGACCACAAUCUGUGUUAUUCUGCUAAUAAUGUUCAGGCGUCGAUGAAUCAACCAAAGUUGAAAAACAGCUGUUCAAUGGGAGUUUUCAACUUGAAACCGUCAAGCUCGAUUGUUCCAAAGGCACUCAAGACAGAUGUUGGUGAAAUAAUAGUGAAGGAAGGGAAGAAACGGGGUAACUGGAUCAAGAUGCUAAUGGAAAUUAGAAGCCGAUGGGUUCAAAAACAAAACAAUGAACUCGACGGUGAUAACGAAGAAGAAAAGGGAUGUGACGACGGUUGUGAGGUGGAUUACAACGAUGAUGAAGACAGUGUUAUCGUUAAUCUGGAGACGUUCUCUGGAAUGUUGAAGCACUAUCUUGGUCUGAUACGAAGCUUUUAUCACAACUAGCUUUUCUCUGUAAUAUGGCUUAUGUUAUCCCAGAGAUCGAGGAGGACGACUUGAGACGAUGCUAUGUAUUACCAUUUGUAACAUCUUCAUGGGAGAGGAAAGCACUAGCCGACGCUAUUUGCGAACCGGUGACUACCUCAGCAGCCAACCAGAGGACCGAAAAGCAUAUAACCCGUACGCAACUGCGUACGAGAUAGCAGCCUUGGCGGCAACAUACGUGCAAUCCCAAGCAAGCCGUCUUAUAAACCUUGAUUCUAAACUGCGCCCGGAGGAAGAUGAUGAUGUCAUCUUAGACAAGACAUAUUCGUCUCAAAGAGUGUAUAAUUCAGAGAUGGUGGUGUAUAUGGCGGCUACUACUAUAACGGCGGUUGUUGCGGCACCUGAGAAGGAAAAACAAGAGGCUGCAAAGGAUCUACAGUCAUAUUGCAUUCAUCCCCUUGUGAAUGGUUUAUUUGCGAUGAUUCGAGUAUAUACACUCGGUGUUUUGUCAUCCAGGGUUCCGCUUCGGUGGCAUCAUGGCAGGAAAAUCUCUUUUUUGAACCAACUAAGUUCGAGGUAGGAAUUUGGAUGGUUCUCUAAUAACUAAGGGUGGUAAAACGGGGCAGUCCGGUUUGGCAAAAGACCAACUAAGUUCGAGCAUAAUGAAGCUGGACAUGAUAUGCAUUGGGGUGGCUCGAACCAUAUGACACCUUUGGUACUGGUACAAAUUCUGUAGCAUAGGGUGCUACUUCAGUAGCAGCAGAUAGGAUACAUGAGCAAAUAAGUUUCAGUUUCGAUUACUCAAUGUUCAUGUAUUGUUUUCAUGUAAUUAUACCAGCUGUUUCAAUAGCGACAUGUUCUUUAUUUUAAAAUCAAAGAUUAUAUCCUCAAACACUAAA